rnacentral:rRNA from 1 species
GACGAACGCUGGCGGCGUGCCUAACACAUGCAAGUCGAGCGGGGUCCAUCCAGUGGCAACACUGGGGAAGACCUAGCGGCGAACGGGUGAGUAACACGUGAGGAACCUGCCCCCGAAGACCGGGAUAACCCGAGGAAACUCAAGCUAAUACCGGAUACCCCCACGAGAUCGCAUGGUCUUGUGAGGAAAUGUCUUUUCGCUUCGGGAGGGCCUCGCGGCCUAUCAGCUAGUUGGCGGGGUAACGGCCCACCAAGGCAUCGACGGGUAGCUGGUCUGAGAGGACGAUCAGCCACACUGGGACUGAGACACGGCCCAGACUCCUACGGGAGGCAGCAGUGGGGAAUCUUGCGCAAUGGGCGAAAGCCUGACGCAGCAACGCCGCGUGGGGGACGAAGGGCUCUCGGGUUGUAAACCCCUUUCAGGAGGGACGAAAUUGACGGUACCUCCAGAAGAAGCCCCGGCCAACUACGUGCCAGCAGCCGCGGUAAU